AUUGAACGCUGGCGGCAGGCCUAACACAUGCAAGUCGAGCGGAUGAGAGGAGCUUGCUUCUCGAUUCAGCGGCGGACGGGUGAGUAAUGCCUAGGAAUCUGCCUGGUAGUGGGGGACAACGUUUCGAAAGGAACGCUAAUACCGCAUACGUCCUACGGGAGAAAGCAGGGGACCUUCGGGCCUUGCGCUAUCAGAUGAGCCUAGGUCGGAUUAGCUAGUUUGUGAGGUAAUGGCUCACCAAGGCGACGACCCGUAACUGGUCUGAGAGGAUGAUCAGUCACACUGGAACUGAGACACGGUCCAGACUCCGACGGAAGGCAGCAGUGGGGAAUAUUGGACAAUGGGCGAAAGCCUGAUCCAGCCAUGCCGCGUGUGUGAAGAAGGUCUUCGGAUUGUAAAGCACUUUAAGUUGGGAGGAAGGGUUGUAGAUUAAUACUCUGCAAUUUUGACGUUACCGACAGAAUAAGCACCGGCUAACUCUGUGCCAGCAGCCGCCGUAAUAC
rnacentral:rRNA from 1 species